rnacentral:rRNA from 1 species
UUCGCAAUGCCCGAAAGGGUGACGAAGCGACGCCGCGUGCGGGAAGAAGGCCUUCGGGUUGUAAACCGCUGUCGGGAGUUAGGAAAUGCAAGGAUGUUAAUAGCGUCUUUGCUUGACUAAGGCUCCGGAGGAAGCCACGGCUAACUCUGUGCCAGCAGCCGCGGUAAUACAGAGGCGGCAAGCGUUGUUCGGAAUUAUUGGGCGUAAAGAGUACGUAGGCGGCCGUGUAAGUCGGUUGUGAAAGCCUUCCGCUCAACGGGAGAACGGCAUCCGAUACUGCAUGGCUCGAGUGCGGGAGGGGAGAGUGGAACUUCUGGUGGAGCGGUGAAAUGCGUAGAUAUCAGAAGGAACACCGGCGGCGAAGGCGACUCUCUGGCCCGUAACUGACGCUGAGUGUGCGAAAGCUAGGGGAGCAAACGGGAUUAGAUACCCCGGUAGUCCUAGCCGUAAACGAUGGGCACUAAGUAGAGGGGUUUU